CAGCCGCCGCGGGAAUACGGAGGGUGCAAGCGUUAAUCGGAAUUACUGGGCGUAAAGCGCACGAAGGCGGUUUGUUAAGUCAGAUGUGAAAUCCCCGCGCUUAACGUGGGAACUGCAUUUGAAACUGGCAAGCUAGAGUCUUGUAGAGGGGGGUAGAAUUCCAGGUGUAGCGGUGAAAUGCGUAGAGAUCUGGAGGAAUACCGGUGGCGAAGGCGGCCCCCUGGACAAAGACUGACGCUCAGGUGCGAAAGCGUGGGGAGCAAACAGGAUUAGAUACCCGCGUAGUCCCUGUCUCUUAUAC
rnacentral:rRNA from 1 species